AUCUCCUUAGUAUCAGUUAGUACACGUGACUUCCAAUCACUUAGUCUCAGUUAAAAUCCGAGGGGAGAUA
rnacentral:tRNA from 1 species